rnacentral:sRNA from 1 species
CCAUGGUGGCGUAUCCGUCUACAUAUCCGAGCCCUUUCUGGUUCGUUAAAGUAUCCUCUUCCACUUUUGGACUCGAUUCUGAUUCGCUCAAGCGGCAAGAUAAAGCUUGGCUCAUUUCUACUGGCUCCCGUAAUCAUUUUAACCGUGCCUGAUCACUAGCGUGCUCUCUUAUCUUUCACUUUUCGCAGCUUAUCUUUCUACUGACUCUUUGACUUUAGAAGACCGAUUGCCUCCAUUUCUUUGUACAAUGCGCCCCCUCCCUGGAGGGUAGAGGGUAGAGGGAGGAGAAGGGUGUCCAAAGUGUGAUAAUGAGUGGAGGUGUGGAGGUAAUAAUAGCAGCAGAGUGGAGGAAACAGAAAGGAAGAGUUGAGAAAAUAAAUGAGACCGACGAAUGCCAGGCAUGCUAAUGGUGAGAAAAUGUGAUAGGCAGGAAAAGUGAGAGGUUAAAGGCUUUUAAAGAUAUGA